GCACACCUGUAAUCCCAGCUACUCGUGAGGCUGAGGCAGGAGAAUCAAUCGCUUGAACUCAGGAGGCAGAGGUUGCGGUGAGCCGAGAUCGCACCAUUGCACUCCAGCCUGGG